rnacentral:lncRNA from 1 species
CUCUGACAUGCCUGCAUGAAUCAUGCUGUAAGAAUCUGUCCAUUAUCAUAGGGACUGAACAGAAGGGCAUUCAAUGCAGUGGUGGACAAGCUCCACUAUGGCAGAAGGUGCUGAAUCAGCCAAUCAUCUCAAACUGUCUACUUCCAAAGAAGUGCUGGACAGAAGUGACACUUCAGCUCCUUCCAACCUGCCCUAUCUCUGGAUAUGGAUACUGUAUGCACAUCAUAUGCCAAGGCAAUAUGAAGGAACCACAAGUGCCCUGAGGAGACCUGGGGAUGUUUUCCCCAGGCUGUGGAACAAGCUGUGCUCGUUGAAGAGGCCCAAGGUAACUAAUUAAACAAGGCAUUUUAGUGAUGGCUGAAUAAAGCUGCCUGAGUUUUCUGUUUUAUUGCCUAA